GCGUGUCUGUUGCGCAGUGUAGUAUGCGUGGUAGACUGAGCUUCUUGUUCCCUUUCCGAGUUGAGCGUGGUUGCAGAAUAUUUGCAAGUUUCGCUGUUGUGUUGGUGUGUGGUUUUGAUUCUGUUAUAGAUUCAUUGAAUUAUUCACACAAUGGUCCAUAUACAACGGUAUGUACAAAGCUGGCUGAUGUACUAGAGGGUCACUACACUACUGCGCUUCUUAUUUAAAACUAGACGAUGGGGAAUACUCGUAAAAACAAUAACUACUGUUGCUGAGGUGAAAA